AGUGGCGGACGGGUGAGUAACGCGUGGGUAACCUGCCCUAUACAGGGGGAUAACAGUUAGAAAUGACUGCUAAUACCGCAUAAGCGCACAGGACCGCAUGGUUCGGUGUGAAAAACUGAGGUGGUAUAGGAUGGACCCGCGUCUGAUUAGCUUGUUGGUGGGGUAACGGCCCACCAAGGCGACGAUCAGUAGCCGGCCUGAGAGGGCGACCGGCCACAUUGGGACUGAGACACGGCCCAAACUCCUACGGAAGGCAGCAG
rnacentral:rRNA from 1 species